rnacentral:rRNA from 1 species
AGCCAUGCCGCGUGUAUGAAGAAGGCCUUCGGGUUGUAAAGUACUUUCAGCGGGGAGGAAGGUGUUGAGGUUAAUAACCUCAGCAAUUGACGUUACCCGCAGAAGAAGCACCGGCUAACUCCGUGCCAGCAGCCGCGGUAAUACGGAGGGUGCAAGCGUUAAUCGGAAUUACUGGGCGUAAAGCGCACGCAGGCGGUCUGUCAAGUCGGAUGUGAAAUCCCCGGGCUCAACCUGGGAACUGCAUUCGAAACUGGCAGGCUAGAGUCUUGUAGAGGGGGGUAGAAUUCCAGGUGUAACGGUGAAAUGCGUAAAGAUCUGGAGGAAUACCGGUGGCGAAGGCGGCCCCCUGGACCAAGACUGACGCUCAAGUGCGAAAGCGUGGGGAGCAAACAGGAUUAAAUACCCUGGUAAUCCACGCCGUAAACGAUGA